CUUUACUGUAGCCUGGUAUUGGGUUCGGGCUUUGACUGCGCAGGAUAGGUGGGAGACUAUGAAGCUGCCCUUGUGGGGGCAGUGGAGUCAUCAGUGAGAUACCACUCUGUCAAGGCUAGAAUUCUAACCGUCUGCCGUUAUCCGGCGACGGAACAGUAUCAGGUGGGCAGUUUGACUGGGGCGGUCGCCUCCUAAAUGGUAACGGAGGCGCGCAAAGGUUCCCUCAGGCUGGUUGGAAAUCAGCCGAAGAGUGUAAAGGCAGAAGGGAGCUUGACUGCAAGAGCAACAACUCAAGCAGGGACGAAAGUCGGCCUUAGUGAUCUGACGGUGCCGCAUGGAAGGGCCGUCGCUCAACGGAUAAAAGUUA
rnacentral:rRNA from 1 species